GCCCGGGUGGCGGAAUUGGUAGACGCUGCGGACUUAAAAUCCGCUGGCCGAAAGGCCGUGCCGGUUCGAGUCCGGCCCCGGGCACCA
rnacentral:tRNA from 1 species